rnacentral:rRNA from 1 species
GAUGAACGCUAGCGGCAGGCCUAACACAUGCAAGUCGAGGGGUAGAGGAAGCUUGCUUCCUUGAGACCGGCGCACGGGUGCGUAACGCGUAUGCAAUCUACCUUACACAAAGGGAUAGCCCAGAGAAAUUUGGAUUAAUACCUUAUAGUAUUAUGAAAUCGCAUGGUUUUAUAAUUAAAGUUCCAACGGUAUAAGAUGAGAAUGCGUCCCAUUAGUUAGUUGGUAAGGUAACGGCUUACCAAGACAAUGAUGGGUAGGGGUCCUGAGAGGGAGAUCCCCCACACUGGGACUGAGACACGGACCAGACUCCUACGGGAGGCAGCAGUGAGGAAUAUUGGUCAAUGGACGCAAGUCUGAACCAGCCAUGCCGCGUGCAGGAUGACGGUCCUAUGGAUUGUAAACUGCUUUUAUACAGGAAGAAACACUCCCUCGUGAGGGAGCUUGACGGUACUGUAGGAAUAAGGAUCGGCUAACUCCGUGCCAGCAGCCGCAGUAAAAC